UGACUCUUCGUCUUAUUUAAAAAAAUUUUGCAAUUGAUAUUUUUGUUUUUAUUAGAUGAUAAAUCAUGAAUAGGACUUUACGCGUGACUAAUUUUUUAAAAUUUUCUAAAAAUUUUUCAAAUAAGACGGAUGGUCA
rnacentral:pre_miRNA from 1 species